rnacentral:rRNA from 1 species
ACCAGACUCCUACGGGAGGCAGCAGUGGGGAAUAUUGCACAAUGGGGGAAACCCUGAUGCAGCAACGCCGCGUGAGUGAAGAAGUAUUUCGGUAUGUAAAGCUCUAUCAGCAGGAACGAGACAAGACGGUACCUGACUAAGAAGCCCCGGCUAACUACGUGCCAGCAGCCGCGGUAAUACGUAGGGGGCAAGCGUUAUCCGGAAUCACUGGGUGUAAAGGGAGCGUAGACGGCUGUGCAAGCCUGAAGUGAAAGGCGGGGGCCCAACCCCUGGACUGCUUUGGGAACUGUACGGCUGGAGUGCAGGAGAGGUAAGUGGAAUUCCUAGUGUAGCGGUGAAAUGCGUAGAUAUUAGGAGGAACACCGGUGGCGAAGGCGGCUUACUGGACUGUAACUGACGUUGAGGCUCGAAAGCGUGGGGAGCAAACAGGAUUAGAUACCCUUGUA